rnacentral:rRNA from 1 species
CCAUCCCGCGUGCAGGAUGACGGCCCUAUGGGUUGUAAACUGCUUUUCUGCGCCAAGAAAUGUUGCUACGUGUAGUAAUUUGACGGUAGCGCAGGAAUAAGGACCGGCUAACUCCGUGCCAGCAGCCGCGGUAAUACGGAGGGUCCAAGCGUUAUCCGGAUUUAUUGGGUUUAAAGGGUGCGCAGGCGGGGGUGUAAGUCAGUGGUGAAAUUUUGCGGCUCAACCGUAAAACUGCCAUUGAUACUGCACCUCUUGAAUAUGGUUGAGGUAGGCGGAAUGUGCCGUGUAGCGGUGAAAUGCAUAGAUAUGGCACAGAACACCAAUUGCGAAGGCAGCUUACUAAGCCAUUAUUGACGCUGAGGCACGAAAGCGUGGGGAGCGAACAGGAUUAGAUACCCUGGUAGUCCACGCCGUAAACGAUGUUCACCCGCUGUCUGCGAUACACAGUAGGCGGCUAAGCGAAAGC